CACACAAAGGAAUCAAGCAAAUAAACACAUCACUCAGCAGGAUAAACCGGAGGAGUAAACUUGAAUCGAGUGGAGUGGAGUGGAGUGGUGUGCGGAGCGGAGUGUUUGUCACUUUGGCGACAUGUGUGACGGCGACGAUGAGCCAGGACUGCAGGGCUCCAGGACAUUGAGGCUCAUCUUCGUCUUCGGGCCGGGGAAUCCUUGCUGGAUUGUUUCUGGCGCAGACAGCAGGCCUACUACAAGUGGACGAACCUGCCUGUGAAGUGGGUUAGAUGGGUGGUCCUUCUGUGGUGCCUUGGUCCUUUGCCUUUGCUGCUCCUCGCAAGGCGCAACACGUUGCUCGAAAGACGCUGCCAGGCAUCACACACAGCGCACACACACUCUGAGAUUUGCAUAAGGAUGUGCUUAUGAUGUGCUCGGAUUAUGGCGCAAUGGACUGGAGCCUGCCGACCGUAGACGUAGACACCGAAGUCUGGAGACUGGAAGGGCUAUCUAGACAUCUACAUAAUAUUAAGACAAAGCUCGUUGAGCCGUAAGACGAUUUAAUCGAGCUGAAAUAAUGGACUAAGGCACCGAAACAGACACGCACACACACGGCAUUUUCAUGAACUUGUUGAGGGCGAUGGAGUGAGUCACCGACUUGGACCGAGAUUGGUGGCCACCCACCGCGUGCAGCCAUCAUCCAGCUCAAGGACAUGCAAUGAACCGAACUUGAUGCCCCUAUCGAAUUUAUGGCUUAUCUGAUUUCCAACAAUUAAAAACAGCACAGGACUCGGCCCUGCCUAACCCAUUCCCUCACCCAUACCCAAUUCCAUACCCAAUCCCAUUCCAAGUCCUGGAGCCACUCCUACGCCCAUUGAGCUUGUUUCGCUUGGCAGCGCUUUAAUGCAAUCAAAACAUUUAUAAAGCUUUAGACGCCGCGCGGCAAAGAC
ensembl:ncRNA lncRNA:CR43492 long non-coding RNA:CR43492